UACGAAGGGGGUGAGCGUUGUUCGGAUUUACUGGGCGUAAAGGGCGCGUAGGCGGCGCGAGAAGUCGAGUGUGAAAGCCCCGGGCUCAACCUGGGAAUUGCGCUCGAUACUCUUGUGCUUGAGUUCGGGAGAGGAGCGUGGAAUUCCCAGUGUAGAGGUGAAAUUCGUAGAUAUUGGGAAGAACACCGGUGGCGAAGGCGGCGCUCUGGACCGAGACUGACGCUGAGGCGCGAAAGCGUGGGGAGCAAACAGG
rnacentral:rRNA from 1 species